GAUGAACGCUAGCUCCAGGCUUAACACAUGCAAGUCGAGGGGCAGCAUUUUAGUUUGCUUGCAAACUGAAGAUGGCGACCGGCGCACGGGUGAGUAACACGUAUCCAACCUGCCGAUAACUCGGGGAUAGCCUUUCGAAAGAAAGAUUAAUAUCCGAUGGUAUAUUAAGAUCGCAUGAUUUUACUAUUAAAGAAUUUCGGUUAUCGAUGGGGAUGCGUUCCAUUAGGUUGUUGGUGAGGUAACGGCCCACCAAGCCUUCGAUGGAUAGGGGUUCUGAGAGGAAGGUCCCCCACAUUGGAACUGAGACACGGUCCAA
rnacentral:rRNA from 1 species